CGUUCGUAACGGACCUCCGGCAGUCUGGAGCUCCUCCCCCUGCCCAGCGCACCGCUCUGCAGCACUCUGCGAGGGCGGGAACCAGGCUAUGCGCUCCGUGGGGGAGCGCGGCAGUGUGUCGGGCUGCACGUGGAGCCCGACACGCUGUUCUGAGUGGCACGGCACCAGACUAACAAAUUAGAGGGAGACAAGAGGGCUACAAAAGAAAUUUGGAAAACCUGACAUAAGGAAAUGUCAAAAAAAUUGGACAUGUUCAGGCUAGAAAAGAGAAGACUGAGUUAGGACCGGAUAACAAUCUUCAAGUAUACAAGAGUACAGUGACCAAUUGUUCUCCACUUCCAGCAAAGACUAAGCAAACAUCAAGCCUACAAACCACAAACACUUGGAAGAAAUCUGACUGAAAAGAAUGCAAUGUUGUGUUAUCAGAACAAUAAACCCAGAGGUAAAACAGGCCUAUAACAAAUCCUCCUCCACCACCUUCCCGCGCCACCCACCCAGUAAAACUUGAGCUUAAACCCAUCAACAAGAUAUUCUAGAAACAUCUUUAUUGAAAUUGUUUUCUUCUAUACACACAGUAAAGUCUUUUUCAUUCUUUAAACUUGGAGAACAUUUAUGGUGGUAAGUGAUCUAUAGAAGACACUGAUUACAUUCAACUCAUUUUUCCACUUAAAGGAGAAAACCUUUGUUGGUUCUCAAAUGCUUAAGAUUGCAUAAGCUUCUUUUAAUGUGUAUAUUUGAAAGUAUUUUUGUAUCUAAAUGCAAGCCUUCACAUAACUGCCUGAUAUUGUUAUAUGACUAGUAAGAUGUUUUAUGUAUAAAUAUAGAAAAAUCAUUUGGUGCUAGGCUAAUUACUAAUGUAAGCAGGAUUUAUAUUAACGGGGAAUUAAUUAAUUACUGAUGGUGCCUGAGCAAAUCCUCACCCAAUGCAAGAUGACAAAAUUUGAAAUGAUGAUUUUCUUAUCAUGUGGAGUCAACAACUCAGGCUAAAGGCUUUCUAGAGUUAUUUAAUUUUAAAAGACUGUUUUGAAAACCAAACACUCAUGCAGAAGAACAGGAGUCUCUGGAUCUUUCAAAAACAGAAUUUCCUGUCAAACGCUAAUAAUAAAAAAAAGUCAGAAAGUGUACUGGAUAAAAAAAAAGCUUUCCUGCCACAAGAAGAAUGGAAGCAAUUAAAGAAAUGUUGCAUAUUCGUUAAACAGACAGUAUUUUCAGGAGCUGAAAGCGUCACCGAAGCAAACAGAGUGACAGCAACCAAUUUGAAUCUAAACAAGCAUGAAAGAUGUGUUUUCCUAUAAUUUCAUUAAAAUAAGAAAGGUAUUAAAAAAAAAAAA